AGAGUUUGAUCCUGGCUCAGGAUAAACGCUGGCGGCGCACAUAAGACAUGCAAGUCGAACGGACUUAAUCGAUUCUUUUAGAUUCGAAGCGGUUAGUGGCGGACUGGUGAGUAACACGUAAGCAACCUGCCUAUUAGAGGGGAAUAACAGUGAGAAAUCACUGCUAAAACCGCAUAUGCCGUGAACAUCGCAUGAUGAAAACGGGAAAAGAGCAAUCUGCUAAUAGAUGGGCUUGCGUCUGAUUAGCUAGUUGGUGUGGUAAAGGCAUACCAAGGCAACGAUCAGUAGCCGCCGG
rnacentral:rRNA from 1 species